ACGGAAGGCAGCAGUGGGGAAUAUUGGGCAAUGGGCGAAAGCCUGACCCAGCGACGCCGCGUGAGGGAAGAAGGUCUUCGGAUUGUAAACCUUAGUCAACAGGGAAGAAGCGAGUGACGGUACCUGUGGAGGAAGCCACGGCUAACUACGUGCCAGCAGCCGCGGUAAUACGUAGGUGGCGAGCGUUAUCCGGAAUUACUGGGUGUAAAGGGAGUGUAGGCGGGACUGUAAGUCAGAUGUGAAAUAUACCGGCUCAACUGGUAGACUGCAUUUGAAACUGCGGUUCUUGAGUGAAGUAGAGGUAAGCGGAGUUCCUAGUGUAGCGGUGAAAUGCGUAGAUAUUAGGAGGAACAUCAGUGGCGAAGGCGGCUUACUGGGCUUUAACUGACGCUGAGGCUCGAAAGCGUGGGGAGCAAACAGGAUUAGAUACCCUGGUA
rnacentral:rRNA from 1 species